rnacentral:rRNA from 1 species
CUACGGGCGGCACCAGUGGGGAAUUUUGCGCAAUGGGGGGAACCCUGACGCAGCAAUACCGCGUGAGUGAAGAAGGCCUUUGGGUCAUAAAGCUCUUUUCUGAGGGAAGAUAGUGACGGUACUUCAGGAAUAAGCACCGGCUAACUCCGUGCCAGCAGCCGCGGUAAUACGGAGGGUGCGAGCGUUGUUCGGAUUUACUGGGCGUAAAGGGCACGUAGGCGGCCUGGCAAGUUAAGGGUGAAAUCCCGGGGCUUAACUCCGGAACUGCUCUUAAAACUGCCAAGCUAGAGAUAGUCAGAGGCGGGUGGAAUUCCUGGUGUAGAGGUGAAAUUCGUAGAUAUCAGGAGGAACACCGGUGGCGAAGGCGGCCCGCUGGGGCUAUUCUGACGCUAAGGUGCGAAAGCGUGGGGAGCGAACGGGAUUAGAUACCCUUGUAGUC